GGUCGUAUCCCAUCUGCUGUCGGUUACCAACCAACCUUGUCUACUGAUCUUGGAGGUCUUCAAGAGCGUAUUACAACAACCAAAAAGGGUUCAAUCACCUCUGUCCAAGCUAUCUAUGUGCCUGCUGAUGACUUGACAGAUCCUGCUCCAGCAACAACCUUUGCUCAUCUGGAUGCAACAACAGUGUUGUCACGACAGGUUUGAUUUCAUUGCAUUUUUUGAAGUAUCUGUUGCAUAGAGGUUUUUGUUAUUGUAAACUAAAUAGUUUGGUUUUGAUGAUAUUGAAUAGAUCUCCGAGCUUGGUAUCUAUCCUGCUGUUGACCCCUUGGAUUCUACAUCUCGUAUGCUGUCACCCCUUAUUUUGGGUGCGGAGCACUAUGAAACUGCUCGUGGUGUGCAGAAGGUUCUUCAGAACUACAAGAAUCUUCAAGAUAUCA
rnacentral:lncRNA from 1 species